GUUCUGUCAUUUGUUGGAUCGCGUCGUUCGCGUCCGGGGUAGAGACGGAACCAGCGCGGCAGCGCCACAUUCUACGGCCGGUGUACCGAUGCACCCUGUGAAGACUUAUCCUGAGAGAGAGAGACCAGCGAGCAAGCAAAUUAACCAAUCAGAAGAUGGACCAUUUUCUAUGUUCAGUCUCACCAGAUUACAUUUAGGCAGAAGACUCUCUACCAUUGCAGUCCCAACUGACCAGGAAGGUCCUAAUAUCAGCGCACAGCUUCCCCUUCACUGCAAACAGGCUGAAAUUGGCUAAAUCGUCGAUUGCAGUCUCUCUCUCUAUGGAUCUCAGCAUUUUUGGACAGAAUUUAGGAUAUUGUCAGAGCCGGGAUCUCCUCUGAAGGACUGAGUACAUUUGUGUUCGCGGACACACAUACAGACCAGGAACAUUCUGAUGUUGUCAGUCAAGUUCUGAACUGGAACCAAUCUUUGGAGAAGUUCAUUUAUUUCCAAAGGUGAAAAAAAAAACCAGUGUGUUCUUUAAAAAAAAAUGAAUU